rnacentral:rRNA from 1 species
UACAGAGGUCUCAAGCGUUGUUCGGAUUCAUUGGGCGUAAAGGGUGCGUAGGUGGUGGGGUAAGUCAGGUGUGAAAUCUCGGGGCUCAACCCCGAAACUGCGCUUGAUACUGCCUUGCUCGAGUACUGGAGAGGAGAUUGGAAUUUACGGUGUAGCAGUGAAAUGCGUAGAGAUCGUAAGGAAGACCAGUGGCGAAGGCGGGUCUCUGGACAGUUCCUGACACUGAGGCACGAAGGCCAGGGGAGCAAACGGG